UCUAGUAUAAGCAUUAUACCGUGAAACUGCGAAUGGCUCAUUAAAUCAGUUAUCGUUUAUUUGAUAGUACCUUACUACAUGGAUAACCGUGGUAAUUCUAGAGCUAAUACAUGCUAAAAACCCCGACUUCGGAAGGGGUGUAUUUAUUAGAUAAAAAACCAAUGCCCUUCGGGGCUCCUUGGUGAAUCAUAAUAACUUAMCGGAUCGCAUGGCCUUGCGCCGGCGACGGUUCAUUCAAAUUUCUGCCCUAUCAACUUUCGAUUGUAGGGUAUUGGCCUACAAUGGUAUCAACGGGUAACGGGGAAUUAGGGUUCGAUUCCGGAGAGGGAGCCUGAGAAACGGCUACCACAUCCAAGGAAGGCAGCAGGCGCGCAAAUUACCCAAUCCCGACACGGGGAGGUAGUGACAAUAAAUACUGAUACAGGGCUCUUUUGGGUCUUGUAAUUGGAAUGAGUACAAUUUAAAUCCCUUAACGAGGAACAAUUGGAGGGCAAGUCUGGUGCCAGCAGCCGCGGUAAUACCAGCUCCAAUAGCGUAUAUUAAAGUUGUUGCAGUUAAAACGCUCGUAGUUGAACCUUGGGCCUGGCUGGCCGGUCCGCCUCACCGCGUGCACUGGUCCGGCCGGGCCUUUCCUCCUGGAGAACCGCAUGCCCUUCACUGGGUGUGCCGGGGAACCAGGACUUUUACUUUGAAAAAAUUAGAGUGUUCAAAGCAGGCCUUUGCUCGAAUACAUUAGCAUGGAAUAAUAGAAUAGGACGUGCGGUCCUAUUUUGUUGGUUUCUAGGACCGCCGUAAUGAUUAAUAGGGAUAGUCGGGGGCAUCAGUAUUCAAUUGUCAGAGGUGAAAUUCUUGGAUUUAUUGAAGACUAACUACUGCGAAAGCAUUUGCCAAGGAUGUUUUCAUUAAUCAGUGAACGAAAGUUAGGGGAUCGAAGACGAUCAGAUACCGUCGU
rnacentral:rRNA from 1 species